rnacentral:rRNA from 1 species
UACAGAGGGUGCGAGCGUUGUCCGGAAUCACUGGGCGUAAAGGGCGCGUAGGUGGUGGCUUAAGCGUGCGGUGAAAGCUCGGGGCUCAACUCCGAGUCGGCCGUGCGAACUGGGCUCACUGGAGCAUAGUAGAGGCAGGUGGAAUUCCGGGUGUAGCGGUGGAAUGCGUAGAGAUCCGGAAGAACACCGGUGGCGAAGGCGGCCUGCUGGGCGUAUGGCUGACACUGAGGCGCGACAGCGUGGGGAGCAAACAGG